rnacentral:rRNA from 1 species
UAGUGGUUGGGCGGGCAGCCGUGGUAGUACAUGUGGUGGAAGAGUUAUGGGGAAUGACUGGGCGUAAAGCGCAAGUAGGUUGUUUGGUAAGUUGGAGGUGAAAGCCCCGGGGUUAACUUUGGAAUGGCAUUCAAGACUGCCGUGCUAGAGUGUGGAAGAGGGAAGCGGAAUUCCAGGUGUAGCGGUGAAAUGCGUAGAUAUCUGGAGGAACAUCAGUGGCGAAGGCGGCUUCCUGGUCCAACACUGACACUGAGGUGCGAAAGCGUGGGGAGCAAACAGGAUUAGAUACCCGAGUAGUC